GCAACAGCCUUCCACUUCUGAUCAGUCUUCUCAUGAGGGCUCUUCACAGGACCCUCAUGCUUCAGGUCCCCUGAAGUCAUGGGUUGCUGGCUCCUGCUCAGAGUGACAGCACCCUGUGGAGUCUGCUGGUACUGACCUAACCACCACAGAGCCCCACUGGAGCAUGGAGCCAGCCUAGAGAGGGUCAGGUAGGAACUGUUUUUUCACUUUAUGGCACGGUUUUACCAAUUGGAAAAAAGUAAUUUUUAUACCCCAAAAGGGUAUAAAACAUUGGUGAUUAUUUUUGAAAAAGGGCUUUUCAAAACUGAGCCAUAUUGGAAAAAAUCAGCACUUACCCGAUCCUGUGCAAGCAGGCUCUAAACAACACCAGAUUUCCCACAGUGUCCAUAAUGACAGUCACAUGGCAGCACUUCUCAGAUGGAUGCAUUGGAUCUAUGUGUUUGAUGUUUAUAAAUAGUUAAUAAAUUAGAUAUGAUAUUAGUCUA
rnacentral:sRNA from 1 species